CGCUUCGGAACAUUUUCCACGUUUCUAUGCGAAGUGCGACGUAGGACUGUUAGUUGAAACUUGUACUACAAUCGCUCUAAUUCUUGAUUAAAUAAUGGCUGAGCAAAAUAUCAUAGACUGCUCAUCAACUGCACAGAGGGAUGAAGAUGACGACGUUGGAAAACUGUUUGUUGGUGGAAUCAGUAGUGAUACAACAGAAGAGUCUUUGAAGGCUUACAUGGAAAAACAUGGGGGAGAAGUAGAGAGUGUGGAGUUGAAAUAUGAUAAAGUGACACAAAGGAUGAGGGGUUUUGGAUUUGUCAAAUUUAGGGAAGAUGCAUCAGCUGAAAAGAUCUUACAAGGUGGUCCUCAUGUAGUAGAUGGCAAAAAGGUAGAUCCAAAAAGAGCAGAGAAACAAGUCAAGCAGCUCGGGGCAAUCCGGACAAAGAAGAUAUUUGUGGGUGGAUUGAAGCAAGAGAUAACGGAAAAAGUUUUACAAGAAUACUUCAGCCAAUUUGGAGAAGUUGUUCAAAUUCAGUUUAUCCCAGAAAAAGGCACUGAGAAAAGACGAGGUUUCUGUUUUGUGGAAUUUGAUAACGAGGAUGUUGUAGACCAACUAGUCAAGAAGCAGUAUCACACUAUUGCCUCAAAAACUGUUGAAGUAAAACAUGCUUAUUCAAAAGAACAACAAGCACAGUUAGCAGCCAAAGGACUUUGGGUACCAGGUGGUAGAGGUCGGGGACGCGGCUCGUAUGGAAUGGGCAUGCCAGGGAGUUAUGGAAUGUAUGAUCAAAGCAUGGGGUACGGGGGAAUGGACGCGUAUGGGUAUGCUGGCUAUGGCAGUGGCGCAAUGAUGGGCUACGGUGGUGCGGUUGGUGCCUACGGAGGAGGAGUCACUUACCCAACUAUUGAUUACUCUGGAUGGUCAGGUCGAGGCACAGAAAACUGGUAUCAUUUCAUGGCAGAGCAACGGGAAGGCCGCGAUGGCCAAUUGCCCUGUGGCUAAUUUGUUAAUCAUUAUCUCAAUAACUUUAAUUUAAUUUUACUGAAAGUAAUAUAUUUUUGCGUUAUAAUGGUUUAGUUUUCUACCAGCUUCCCAGUAAUGGUAAACUGUUUUAUGACCUGAUAAAUUAAAUUGAGCAAUGGUAAAGCCGUAAAGAUUAGUUGCCGUACGAUGGUGCUUUAGAUAAUUCAUGCAAAUGUUAUGUAAUAACCUAUAUAAAGUAAAAAAACCACCGGGGGAUGAAGUGGAAGACCGGAGAAAGACACGUGGAUUCUCCCUCAUUGUGGCAUCUUUGCAAUUAUUUCAAAGUGCAUCGAAUUGAAAAGGUGCUGGCGGUCGGGGUUCCGGAGUUGGACCUAUGUACUCAUAUGGUGCUAGGAACACUUUCCACCCAUACUCAAGAUAAAAAGAAUUUCAAGUUUACUGCGAUGUUUUUUCCAAGCUGGAAGCUGGCAACAGUUUGUAAACAUGGCUCUGGUAUUUUCCUACUGACUCAACAUAACUUUUACAUGAUGGGAAUAGAUCAGUUCUUUCCUCAUAUGAAAUUCUGUAUGGGCAUGGAUGUGUGCUCGCGACCCAAGACGUGCGCUUCCUGAUGAAAUACCCUGCUUUUUUAAAUGGACUUGACUAUUUUAUUUACUAGUUCAAUAAACGUUGUAAAGGGUAAAUUUAACAGUUUUCAGGUUGUUUUCGUCGUAUGUUUUGGUGGUUGCUUUUUUACCUUACAUCAUCUAAAUCCUCUGAUAUCUCAUUCGAAAUAACUAAAAGAAAUAUAGAAUUGAAAAAAUAAGUCAUCUUUAUUUUAUACAUGUACAAUUCAGAGAAACAUCGAGCUUUCUAUGACCCUUUGCAUACAGAUAAUUAAUUUUGCUGUUUUGUAUGGAUGAGCUGCUUGUAAAGUCAUUAACAUGCAGAUAGGUUCGUUUUGCUACUUUGUUUUUCCAGGCUGUUUAUCGUGUGUCGGUAAAGCAUCCCAAACUUCGCUCAGUUUAAUUAAAAAAGAUGUUUACUUGCACGAUGUAUCCUGUCCCGUCUUUCUUGAAUUGAAGAUAACUUAAGUGUUUAAUUUGUAUUUUCGCUUGCCUUGAAGGGUUGCAAAAUUUUUGUUCGAAAACAACGUCGUUAUCAUUUUAAUGUUAACAGGUAAAGUUAUUUGGUUUCCUGUCAUUUGUAUAGCCAGCAUUUUGAUACUUAUUGAAAAGGGAAUUAAAUAUUGUCUUUCUAUUA